UCUCAUCUUCCUUGACUGACAGUAUUUUCACAGUGAUGCCUUAAGUUUCCAUCAGCAAUCUACCUGUCAGAAGAAGUUUUGUCCGCAGCUGCGUGAAUGUAACAGCUCCACUGGCUUUGAAUCAGGCCUGAGAAGAGGAAGAGAAGUUACUAGCACCUUUUCAUUAGCUUGUAAGGAAUGAAGCCUAUGUUUUAAACGGAAAGAGUAGAUCUAAGAUUGYCUGUGCCUCUACAAGUCUACUGAUAUAUUUAAGACAGAAGUACGCGUCCCCUCCACGUCACAGARGAGUCUCGAGCUCCCUCCAUCCCCCCGGACCGCGGAGCGACCCGCCUCAGCAGGGCUGGAAGCCGCGCACAAAACCGCCCUCCUCCAAGUACGUCUACACGGCGCCAGCAGGGCCAGGCACGUGCGGCCUGCUCCGACACCACUGACCCSUGAACCUCCUGGCCGGCUCGUUUUCGGCGAUUUUUUUGUCACUUCCAUAGCGAGCAGUAGAAGGGGCACAGUUGUGAGCCUGGAGAGCAGCUCUCUGUGUAUUACUGCUACAGCAAACAAGCGGUUUCAUUUCUCACACUAAAGAGAAGGAAAAAAGUAAUCUAGACAAGGUGAUGGAUGAUUGCGCUCACCAUUUGUAACAAGUUUUAAUAAAAUUGUAGGAGGAUUUUUUUGCUCCCUA
rnacentral:lncRNA from 1 species